CACCAGCCACGGGCAGGACCAAUCAAAUCUGCUUAGUACCCGGAAGCGGGGCAGAAACGGACGCGGAAAGAGCAAACCGUCUCCGUGCGGACCGCGUACCCACCUGCAGUCCCGGGGCUGCUGCGCGAGGCCUUGGCGGCCGGGCAGAUACCCGAGGAAAUUCAACUGUCCUCGCAACGAAACGCGCGCGAAGCACGCAACACAAGGUGGAACACACCCGUGGAUUUCUCCACAGCCGGGACACCUGCGCCGCAGGUAGGUACACCUCCACCUGAAUUAGGAAUAGUAGUUGCAAGCCGAAU
rnacentral:lncRNA from 1 species